rnacentral:rRNA from 1 species
CCUACGGGAGGCAGCAGUGGGGAAUAUUGCGCAAUGGGCGAAAGCCUGACGCAGCGACGCCGCGUGAGGGAUGAAGGUCUUCGGAUCGUAAACCUCUGUCAGCAGGGAAGAACGGUCACGGGGCUAAUCAGCAGUGAAUGGACGGUACCUGCAAAGGAAGCACCGGCUAACUCCGUGCCCGCAGCCGCGGUAAUACGGAGGGUGCGAGCGUUAAUCGGAAUUACUGGGCGGAAAGCGCUCGUAGGCGGGAUGUCAAGUCAAGGGUGAAAUCCCCGCGCUCAACGUGGGAACUGCCUUUGAAACUGCCAACCUGGAGUGUGUCAGAGGCUAG